UGGUGGAGUGAUUUGUCUGGUUAAUUCCGUUAACAAACGAGACCUCCGCCUACUAAAUAGUUGGCUGACUCACUGAGUUAGUACAACUUCUUAGAGGGACAACUGGUGUUUAGCCAGUGGAAGUUGGAGGCAAUAACA
rnacentral:rRNA from 1 species